rnacentral:snRNA from 1 species
GGAUAUGAGGGCGAUCUGGCUGUGGCACCUGUCAUCCCAUUGAUCGCCAGGGUUGAUUUGGUUGCUCUGGUUGGCAAGGCAGCUGUCCCCUUCCUCCCUCACUGCUGCGUGUGGAUCUCUCCUGAAGCUGUGUGCUUGGUA